rnacentral:rRNA from 1 species
CAUGCAAGUCGAACGGUAACAUUUCUAGCUUGCUAGAAGAUGACGAGUGGCGGACGGGUGAGUAAUGCUUGGGAAUUUGCCUUUAGGUGGGGGACAACAGUUGGAAACGACUGCUAAUACCGCAUAAUAGCUACGGCUCAAAGGGGGCUUCGGCUCCCGCCUUUAGAGAAGCCCAAGUGGGAUUAGGUAGUUGGUGAGGUAAAGGCUCACCAAGCCGACGAUCCCUAGCUGGUCUGAGAGGAUGAUCAGCCACACUGGAACUGAGACACGGUCCAGACUCCUACGGGAGGCAGCAGUGGGGAAUAUUGCACAAUGGGGGAAACCCUGAUGCAGCCAUGCCGCGUGUGUGAAGAAGGCCUUCGGGUUGUAAAGCGCUUUCAGUCGUGAGGAAAGGUUAGUAGUUAAUACCUGCUAGCUGUGACGUUAGCGACAGAAGAAGCACCGGCUAACCCCGUGCCAGCAGCCGCGGUAAUACGGAGGGUGCGAGCGUUAAUCGGAAUUACUGGGCGUAAAGCGUACGCAGGCGGCCAUUUAAGUCAGAUGUGAAAGCCCCGGGCUCAACCUGGGAACUGCAUUUGAAACUGGAUGGCUAGAGUGCGACAGAGGGUGGUAGAAUUUCAGGUGUAGCGGUGAAAUGCGUAGAGAUCUGAAGGAAUACCAAUGGCGAAGGCAGCCACCUGGGUCGACACUGACGCUCAUGUACGAAAGCGUGGGUAGCAAACAGGAUUAGAUACCCUGGUAGUCCACGCCGUAAACGAUGUCUACUAGCAGCUUGCCUCUUAAGAGGUGUUUUGCGCAGCUAACGCAUUAAGUAGACCGCCUGGGGAGUACGCCGCAAGGUUAAAACUCAAAUGAAUUGACGGGGCCGCACAAGCGGUGGAGCAUGUGGUUUAAUUCGAUGCA